AUUGAACGCUGGCGGCAGGCCUAACACAUGCAAGUCGAGCGGUAGCACAGAGAGCUUGCUCUCGGGUGACGAGCGGCGGACGGGUGAGUAAUGUCUGGGAAACUGCCUGAUGGAGGGGGAUAACUACUGGAAACGGUAGCUAAUACCGCAUAAUGUCGCAAGACCAAAGUGGGGGACCUUCGGGCCUCAUGCCAUCAGAUGUGCCCAGAUGGGAUUAGCUAGUAGGUGGGGUAACGGCUCACCUAGGCGACGAUCCCUAGCUGGUCUGAGAGGAUGACCAGCCACACUGGAACUGAGACACGGUCCAGACUCCUACGGGAGGCAGCAGUGGGGAAUAUUGCACAAUGGGCGCAAGCCUGAUGCAGCCAUGCCGCGUGUGUGAAGAAGGCCUUCGGGUUGUAAAGCACUUUCAGCGGGGAGGAAGGCGAUAAGGUUAAUAACCUUGUCGAUUGACGUUACCCGCAGAAGAAGCACCGGCUAACUCCGUGCCAGCAGCCGCGGUAAUACGGAGGGUGCAAGCGUUAAUCGGAAUUACUGGGCGUAAAGCGCACGCAGGCGGUCUGUCAAGUCGGAUGUGAAAUCCCCGGGCUUAACCUGGGAACUGCAUUCGAAACUGGCAGGCUAGAGUCUUGU
rnacentral:rRNA from 1 species